rnacentral:rRNA from 1 species
UACGUAGGGUGCAAGCGUUGUCCGGAAUUAUUGGGCGUAAAGAGCUCGUAGGCGGUCUGUCGCGUCGGAUGUGAAAAUCCAGGGCUCAACCCUGGACCUGCAUUCGAUACGGGCAGACUAGAGUUCGGUAGGGGAGACUGGAAUUCCUGGUGUAGCGGUGAAAUGCGUAGAGAUCAUGAGGAAGACCAGUGGCGAAGGCGGGUCUCUGGACAGUUCCUGACACUGAGACACGAAGGCUAGGGGAGCAAACGGG